GCGGCAGCGCUGCUGCCCCUGCUCCGCAGCGACAAGCUCUGCGUGGACGAGGCUGAACUGGUCCGCGCGGCCCGAAGCUGGGCGCGCGUGGGCGCGGUGAGUGGGGCUGAGGGAGCACAAGGGCACGGAAGGAGGUGCGGGCCACGAAAUGAGCGGGCGGCAGGACAGGUGCCCGACUCAGGGCUGGCGUUUGCAGGCGGUGCUGGAGCGGCCGGUGGCCGAGGUGGCGGCCCCGGUGGUGAAAGAGCUGAGACUAGCCUUGCUGGCCCCGGCGGAGCUGAGCGCCCUGGAGGAGCAGAACCGGCAGGAACCACUUAUCCCGGUGGAGCAGAUUGUGGAGGCGUGGAAAUGCCAUGCCCUGCGGAGAGGGGAUGAGGCCCGGGGCGCCCCGUGUCGCCGCCGGAGAGGCACCCUGCCCCGGGAGCAUCAUCGCUUUCUGGACCUGUCCUUCAAAUGAUCCAACGCCGGGACUCGCAGAGAGCCCUGGACCCGCCCAUCUGAGCCUGCUCCAAACUACAGCUCCCGAAGUGCUCGG
rnacentral:sRNA from 1 species